AUUGAACGCUAGCGGGAGGCUUUACACAUGCAAGUCGAGCGCGCGGCGGACGGGUGAGUAAUGUAUGGGAAUCUGCCCGGUAGCGGGGGAUAACUACUGGAAACGGUGGCUAAUACCGCAUACUAUAGGAAGACCCGAUAUAGGAUUAGCUAGUUGGUGGGGUAAAGGCUCACCAAGGCGACGAUCCCUAGCUGGUGUGAGAGGAGGACCAGCCACACUGGGACUGAGACACAGCCCAGACUCCUACGGGAGGCAGCAGUGGGGAAUAUUGGACAAUGGGGGAAAGCCGGAUCCAGCCAAUCCGCGUGUAUGAAGAAGGCCUUCGGGUGGUAAAGUACUUUUGGCGGGGAAGCGUUAUCCGCAGAAUAAGCACCGGCUAACUCCGUGCCAGCAGCCGCGGUAAUAC
rnacentral:rRNA from 1 species